rnacentral:lncRNA from 1 species
AUGUCUUUAAUGAGCCAGAUGGAAACAGAAAAUGCUCAUAUGAAGGACAAAAGAUCCCGAAAAGUGGAUAAUAACAUCUGUGCAAGAAAACAGCUACAUCUUACAAAGCAUGAGCAACACAGGAUGCCUACUUUGCUUUCAUCUAGAGACAGUGUUCAGGAAGACACUCAAAUACUGUCACAGAACAUAGUGGAGCCAGGGAUGGUGGACAAAGGAAAGCCACUUCCGGGUCUGACUUGCUACAUGGUGCAAACAGCUCUCUUCCUGCAAGAGGUGUGCAGCCAGGACAGACAGCUGGGCUGAACUUCACUGCUGCUUCAAACUCAAGUAACAGAUGAACAUCCCCAUCUCCAAGGUUGUCCCUCGAGGAGCACAGAAGAAGCUCUGUGUUAGCAGCAACUUCUGAAUUCUGCCAGGUUCUCUGAGAUGAACUAAUUAAACAUCUAUGAAGCAUGAUGAGAAGAGAGCUGAUGCAUGAUGGUUGAGGAGGAGACAUCUCUAUUCACCAAAGGACCAUGAAAGGAGUACAAAGAAGACUUCUACUGCAGCCUCAAUCAGACUGUUUGUAUAAAGUAAAAUGAUUAAACAUCUAAAGGGAGAGAUAACGGGUAGAAAAAUUGAUGCUUCUGGUCUUCUCAUUUAUCUGGUUACAACACUGCACUGACUCCAAGGCAGUGUGUGAUGAUGGAAGAGCCUUUUAGAAGUGUGUGGAACUACACCUAGUUCCACUCUGCCUGUUUAGCUGCCCUGGAAGGGAAGAAUGUCAUUCCUGAUAUAUGAUUUCAUUUUAUUUUUUUGAACAAAAUUAAGUACUCAAAGAUCUGUUGUUUGGGAUGUUUUCUGACAGCCAAGACUCAAUGAGAUGAAAUAGUAGUACUGUUCAUGCAUUGGUUUCACCCCAUUCUCAUUAUUGGCAGGAGAAGCCUCCAUUCUAUGAGGGCUAUUCAUUUUCAAUGGCUCUAGCAGAAUUUUAAUCAAUUUUUGUUACCAACAAAUAGUUUUAAAACAGCAUUCUUGUUAAGACAUCUUUAGUGUGAAAAACUAAUGAUAUAGUGUGAUUAUGCAAUACCUAUAUUUAUUCUGACAAUGUUUGUCAGAAAAAUGGUUCUUCCCGUGUCAUCAUUUUCAGUGACAGGUUCAUGUUGACACUGGUGCUGACUAUACGCAGUCAAAACUUCCUCAAUUUCUAUCAUACUUGAUCUGAUGCUGACAAGUUCAUGUGCAUUAAUUUCAGCAAUAUGUAAAAUUUAUAGUAAUAAAAGAUCUAGGACUUGAUUUUGAUUUUUAUUU